rnacentral:rRNA from 1 species
AUACGUAGGUGACAAGCGUUAUCCGGAUUUACUGGGCGUAAAGGGCGUGUAGGCGGUCUUGCAAGUCAGAAGUGAAAUUCCUGAGCUCAACUCGGGCGCUGCUUCUGAAACUGCAGGACUUGAGUGCUGGAGGGGAUAGCGGAAUUCCUAGUGGAGCGGUAAAAUGCGCAGAUAUUAGGAAGAACACCGGUGGCGAAGGCGGCUAUCUGGACAGUAACGGACGCUGAGGCGCGAAAGCGUGGGGAGCAAACAGGAUUAGAUCCCCUGGCAGUCCACGCCGUAAACGAUGAAUACUAGGUGUAGGGGGUAUCGACUCCCUCUGUGCCGCAGUUAACACAAUAAGUAUUCCGCCUGGGGAGUACGGCCGCAAGGUUGAAACUUAAAGGAAUUGACGGGG